rnacentral:rRNA from 1 species
UACGAACUGUGCAAACGUUAUUCGGAAUCACUGGGCUUAAAGGGCGCGUAGGCGGGCGGUCAAGUCUGUGGUGAAAUCCUUCGGCUCAACCGGAGAAUAGCUGGAGAUACUGGCCGUCUCGAGGGGGGUAGGGGCAUGUGGAACUUCCGGUGGAGCGGUGAAAUGCGUAGAUAUCGGAAGGAACGCCGGUGGCGAAAGCGACGUGCUGGACCCUUUCUGACGCUGAGGCGCGAAAGCCAGGGGAGCAAACGGG